UUUCUUGCUGAGUGACCUUUGCUCAUUCCUUUGGUCACUCAAAUGCCGAGUACCUUUUGCGCCAGUUAUCCCAAAAGCUUUCCGUUCAACCAGAUGGCCGAGUGGUUUAAACUCUGCUCUUGAGGUGAGCCAGCACAGGAGAUCGGGGAGAGCCAGCCGCACGAAUCUCGCGAAGAGUUUCGCGUUUUCGCGGUUCGGAGGUGAUGAGAUCGUGGAGGUGAUAAAGCGGUCUAGGGGAAUGACAAGCUAUUGUCCAGGGUUGGUAACCGUGAGAGGGAACGGAAUUUGGAACUGAAGCCUCUCAUAAGUCUCGGCGUUCUGAUGACGCGCCCAACGGUUCACUUUUAUCAGUUCCGCGGAAGAGGCACCAGUGGCCCUCGAUUGUGCGCGUCUCGUGAUUAAAUUCUAGUUUAGCGAGAUUUAGUAGUUCGAACUAGUGCCGUGUCGUGUGCAUGUGUGAAAUUCUGCCGUGCAUGUGCGUUCCAGAAAUCCUGGUAAGUGCUGUCGUUGGCCACCUCGUGGUCACCUGCCCAGGGCGAAGCCUAACAUCUAUCCCGUGACCAGCUCUGCAUCCACCGCCACGCUCGUCACAGACGGCCCGAACUACCGGGGACCUGCUACCGCUUCGAUCCGGCCGCAACGCCCACGCCGCCGAAGGCCAGCGCUCGCCAAACUGCGCUAGGCAGCGGAACUGUACGGCCACGCCGUAACAGGACAGCAGCAACCGUCACCGCAGCGUCCUUGAAAUAACCGCCAUCGCGAUCAACAUCCGCCAUCGCGAUCGCCAACUGCCAUCAACCUAACCUGGAAGGUUAGGAAACCACGUGAGUGAGUGAAGAGGGAGAGAAGUCCGGCUUCGAAGGCGGACACGCGAACCGGCAACCAACAAUCAGCUAACCAGCGUUCCAGCCGAGCAGCAGCAGCAGAUCUUCAAAAGUAGGUCGUCGAGGUUCCCUCGCAGGUGCGACCAACCACGUGCUCGAGCCCCGUCCGGUGUUAACCGGAGAACAGCAACAGCAGCAGCAGCAAGUGAUGACGUCGUAGACGCCGUCCGCAGCGAACACCAACCGAUCGUUCAGAGUUUCUUCGAAACCAGCAGCAGCAGCAGUACAGGUAUCGAGACGACCACGUGAUCGUCGACCGCGAACGCCAAGCAAACUGUGAGUAAAGCAUGCACUAGUGGUAAGACCAUGGCCCACACCUUUUCGCCCGCUACCAACCUUACCAACUAAGUAGCGCGGCGCUGCGCGUCGAGAUUGUUCCGACACGUCAAAAAAUGAAUACAUAAAACGCACAUAGCACACACACCUAAACCGGAAGAAGAAGAAA